rnacentral:rRNA from 1 species
AGUGAACGCUGGCGGUAGGCCUAACACAUGCAAGUCGAACGGCAGCACAGGAGAGCUUGCUCUCUGGGUGGCGAGUGGCGGACGGGUGAGGAAUACAUCGGAAUCUACUCUGUCGUGGGGGAUAACGUAGGGAAACUUACGCUAAUACCGCAUACGACCUACGGGUGAAAGCAGGGGACCUUCGGGCCUUGCGCGAUUGAAUGAGCCGAUGUCGGAUUAGCUAGUUGGCGGGGUAAAGGCCCACCAAGGCGACGAUCCGUAGCUGGUCUGAGAGGAUGAUCAGCCACACUGGAACUGAGACACGGUCCAGACUCCUACGGGAGGCAGCGGUGGGGAAUAUUGGACAAUGGGCGCAAGCCUGAUCCAGCCAUACCACGUGGGUGAAGAAGGCCUUCGGGUUGUAAAGCCCUUUUGUUGGGAAAGAAAUCCAGCUGGCUAAUACCCGGUUGGGAUGACGGUACCCAAAGAAUAAGCACCGGCUAACUUCGUGCCAGCCGCCGCAGUAA